GGCACCUAAUAUUAAAGAGGUAAAUCAUGGUUGAACAGACACGUAAUUGUAGGUUUUGUUUUGGUCAGUACUUAAGUAGACUUUAACAACAAACUAGACAAACUAUGACAAAUUUUGACAGGAACAAUAUGUUAACGAGGACCCUGCACAAAUAAAUGAACAUUCCAUAUUUUAAUUCUGAUUACACUCUUACAGUUUUUAACCUCUUAUAAGUUUCCCUUUACACUCUGUCCCUUUUGCACAGUAUGCCUCUACACCCUCAGCUUCCGACUAUAUAUCUUUGAAUUAUGUGGGCCACUGAGGAUAGAGGUACACACUCUUUACAUCUGCUAGUCAGUGGCAUAUUUUCCCUAUGGUAAAUAGAAAGUGACCAUUUAGUGCCCCAAAAUAACAUUAGAACUAUAAUGUCUGCAUAACCAUGUCUCUCAUUAACAUUAGUGGGCAGGCACAUGAACACUUAUUUAAAGGGAUACUAGAGUGCUAGAAAUAUAUAUCUGUAUUCCUAGUACUAUAGUUACUUCUCAUCCCCCCCUCCCUUGCGGCCUCCUCUUCGAUACAUAAAGUGUUAAAAAAAACUUUAUAUACUCAUCUGAUUCAAGCGUCAAUGUACCUCCGUACUGGGUUGGCACUCAGUCUCCUCAGAUAUCAUCCAUUGGGGGGGCUCGUGCACAUACGUGGUGUGCGCUGUGAGCACUUUAGGCUGUCCCUGCUUCAGUGCUUUCCUAUGGGGAUUUAACUGACACUGGAUGUUCUCAUGCAGAGUGUGAGGGCAUGCAGUGUCAGUUAGGAGACCUUAAGUCUGGUCUGUAGACAGCCACUAGUGGCAGACAUACUACUGCAAUGUAAACAUUGCAGUUUCUCUAAAACGGCAAUGUUUUACAUUGCAGGACUAAGUGUGACAGGGACACUGCACCUAGACUACUUCAAUGAGCUGAAGUGGUCUGGGUGACUAUAGUUUCUUUUUAAUAACUGCAGAGUAAUAAACAGUGCCAGCAGACUGUCUCCUGCACUUUAGAAGGGUGGAAAUAGGUUAGGCAUUAUUGACAGAGAGAAUCAUUCUGAUCUAACUUGGAGAAUCAGUCAUAGUUUGCUUCUGGUGGCAUUGGCUACCUUCAGCACCAACACAUAAAUAAAAAGUAAUUUUAAGUGCAAAGAAGGACCUAGUUAAAGGAUAUGUGUCCUACUGUGCCUAGUGGUAAAUCCAGCCCUGCUUGUACCUCUGUGUCACCACCAAGAGCUCUGGUGGCCUGGGAGAUGUGUACACAUUUUGUAAUGCGCAAAAUUCCAUCUCUGCACCUAUAGUCUUCCAGGACCAGAACUAUCUGAUGUACAGAGCUUCAUGUACAUCUCUCAGGAGAGUGAGCUGAGUUGCAUGCUGAAGACAAACACUAAGCACACAACUCUAAGAGAAUCCAAGAUGUAUAUUAUUUGUAUAAUUGAACAUUUAGAGGUUUAUGUCUAAAGCAAUUGUGGGUCAAGCACAAAAAGUGGGCAGUUAUGAGGAAUGGGAGGUCCUCUCUGGAUUGCGUGUGAUGUUACCUCUGUAGGGGGGAACUGCCAGAAAGCUUCCCCCUCGCAGGGGUUAAAAUGGCAUGUAAUUCAAGAGAUAUAUGCCAUGCUUCCUAUACCAAGUUCACCGAAAAGAUUUAGAAUCUCUUUUAAAUGUUUUAAAUCAUUGUUGUUAAUUAAGUUCUCGUAAAUGCAGUUUUUGCAUUCCUACACAUAAUCAGGGUUAUUGACCAAACAGUAAAUUGUCUGGGAUCUGUAGAUAAAUUGGGAGAAAAAAUAAUAAUUUGGAAUUCCUACCAAUUCAUGGUUUAAUGAAUAACCCUGUGUGUUACAGAAUGAAUCAUUUUAUUACCAGUGGUUGUAGGGAAGUAUGAAAGAAACUACUCUCAAGUAAAGGGUUAAUAUAAACAGAAGUCCCAAAAACAUAUUCUUGUGUUUUGUGAGCAGUUCACAAUUUAACUCCAGCCAUUUGGGGGAUUUUUACAACUUUUGUUUGGCUACAACUACUAUGAUCUCCAGCACAAAUAAUUGACAGUUAAUAGGAGUCGUAGUUCCCUAUAACUGAAUACUUAGAGGAAUUCCAUAUGUGAAACAGUAUGCUUUUUAUAAAAAUAUAGCGAAAACUGCCAACUCACACAUUUAUUGUGCAAUUUCUGCCAACAUCUGUAUGCACUGUACAGUGACCAACAUAAUGGUCUAUAUCGUUUCACUGCAAUAUAUCUAUAGAUAACAUUCGUAUCUGCAGAAUGUCAAGUCAUUCCAAAUUUUCUAAUGAUCACUGUUUAAAAUGUAUAAAUACUUACCAAUAUAAAAUGGCACUUUGCUAGGACAUAUUGUAGCAACUUUAGCUAGAGUCAUGCGCUACCAUUUGUAAUCAGAUCCCCUUUCAUCAUCCGAGGGUUUUAUAAUAUAUUCCUAGAAGCCUACACCCAGCACUAACACAAUAUCAAUUGCAUUAUAUGCAAUUCGUUUGUAAAAGGCUAAUUAGGUUUUAUUGUAGUUAAAAGAAAAAUGCAAGUUGUUUUUGGCUUUGGUACUCUAGUCACAUAGAAUUCACCUUAGAAACCAAACUGAGGGUUACAAUGAUUUGAUUUCACAUGUUGCCAACUUGGGAACAAUAGACCUAAUAAGAACAUUAGGGGUUAUGUAUUAAGAGCAAUUGUGGGUCAAAGUUUUAAAAGUGCAGUAAUCAGCAGGAGCAUUCCAUUGUUUCCAUGGUGGCUGAUCCAUCUUUAGAACUGUACUCCAGACUUGUACUUUAUACCAUGUUUACUAUACAGGCACUUAUAUAUGUUAUUUGUGUGCAUAUACUUGGCUGAGAAUUUAAGUACCGUAACUAAUCAAAAUACGCAGAUCUCUACAGAUCUGUGUUGAGAAACAUAAUCAGUAAUAUAUAUAAAUAUAAUAUUUCACUGAAAGGGACAUUGAUCUUAAAAUAUCAAAGGUCUUUUUUAAAGGUUGCCAGGCGUGUUUCCAAUCAUAGUUAUUUCUUGCAGAUCAAUACAAUUAAACGUUGAAAUGGUAAUAUUGCGUUGACAGCCUGGUUGUAAUGCAUUGCCAAAUACAUUUGUAUUGCUUUAUUUUAAAUCUUUCUAUUUGAUAUAAUUCAAUAUAACAAUGUAAUUAUAUUAUGUAUUGAAAUAGUGGAUUUUAAUUUUGUUAGUGUAUGACAGAUGAUAGGACAUCAUGAGCCGAAAGAAGGUCAUCUCACCUCAUUAAUGGAUCUGCGCAUCUUGUCCAAUGAGUUCUAGAAAACCCACACCCUCUAAAAACCACUAAGGCUUGGUGCUUAUUCAACUGAAUAUAUGUCAUUUGCUGAUGUGAUAGCUGAUUACUUACCAUAAUUGGAUAUUUAUCAUACAAGCUAAUUAAACUGGACCCAGAUACUUAUAAGGUAAUUGAGAGAAAUAGAUGAAUUACAAUCUCUGUAGCAUGAUGGCAAUCUGAUAAAAGAAGUUAGAAAUUUAAGUUUUCUAUGCAACUUAAAAUUAAAACACGAGAUGUCUAUAUUUCUUACAUAUGGUUCUGUAUAUAUUUAAUUGUGUUAUGGGGCAGAAAUCCCUCUCUAUUUGGCUAGAAAGGACAAGAGGAACAACGUGGCUAACUACCUUGGAGAGUCAAUAAAGCUCUCCACAGUGCAAUAGUUCUAAAACAUUUUGGACAGAUGAGGACCACAUAAAAGGUAGGCAGAUAUCGACCUUCCUAAUAUGGGCCAUUUGCAAAAAUAAAAAAUGCAAUGCAAAAGCUGAAUAUCCACUCCUCCUGCCCUUGAUUUCUAUGUCACAGACAUAAAAAUUCUAUCUAAAAAUUCACCUUCCAAACUCUCAUAUCAUUUUUGAAAGGUGGGAGGUACUUCUUAUGGUUUGAUGACCACAAGUCAAGAACCCCUACCAUAUAGAGCACAGCAUUCAAUGGCAAGGUAUCUAACUUACAUUUGUCAACAUUUUGAGGGAAGAGUAUCAAAAAUACUUAGAGACAAAAUCAGGGAAAUGUUUUAGUAUUUCUGUAAUUCACAGGCAAAACAAACAACAGACAUACAAUUAUUCAAUAAACUGUAAGUUGUCAGAAAUUAACUUUCAUUUGUAGGCCAUAGUAGCCAGACUGAAAAAAUACCCAAGUCAGUUAGUUAGAUGUAAACUUUGAAAUUCACUUUGCAUUCCAAACAAUUCACACGUCUGCAUAUACUCCUGUCAGUGUAUUAUAGAACAAUGUGGUAAGUGUGAUCCUGAACACCUGGUCUAUAUGUGGCUGUUAUUGGAUGAAUUUCAUCAUUGGCAUUUUAAGAUGUGUUUAUGAGAUAUAUAAAGAGCUUUAUCAUGAUCAGGAUGUGUCUUUGUUCAUAGUGUUUCUUAAAAAAUAUCCCUCCUUUUCACAUUCAUUGCAGCUUAACGCUUUGGAUACAAACAUUUAAUGUAUUUUUUACCUUAGGACUAAUGUUAAGAUGAUGGACACAGUAGAUGCUGACAGCACAUUUGAAGGACAACUGCUUUUGGCCAUGAUUAAAAUACAAUUUAACAACUCAAUUAAAGACUAGAUCUAAAUAUUAAUAGAUAUGGAUAUAUAUUUAGCCGUGAGAGGACUAAAUAUGUCUCUUAUCAAAAUAGCCAUGUACAGUAAAGAUCUGCUCUACGAUAUUUUAUGGAGACCUGUUUAAUGAUUCAAAACUUUUUAUACAUGUAUUUUUCUGAAAUUAAAUCUUUACUGAUACUGUACAAUAGUAACUUUAAUUUUAUAGCUAUUGGUACAAUAUGUGAAUAUGUUAAACAAUGCUAAGCUUAUAACUUUCCUCUUAAAGUUGUUAACAUAACAAACUGUGUGCUUACGGUCAAAUGGAAUACAUUUGUAACCUUUUUUUGUACUAAAACGGUAUUCUCUUCUUGUUUUUGUUUGCAAGAAAGGGUGGUAAUGAG